UAGGGAAUCUUCCGCAAUGGACGAAAGUCUGACGGAGCAACGCCGCGUGAGUGAAGAAGGAUUUCGGUUCGUAAAACUCUGUUGUUAGGGAAGAAAAAAUGUAUAGUAACUAUAUACAAAAGAGAUGGUACCUAACCAGAAAGCCACGGCUAACUACGUGCCAGCAGCCGCGGUAAUACGUCGGUGGCCAGCGUUGUCCGGAAUUAUUGGGCGUAAAGCGCGCGCAGGUGGUUUAGAAAGUCAGAUGUGAAAGCCCACGGCUCAACCGUGGAGGAUCAUUGUAAACAAAUAAACUUGAGUGCAGGAGGGAAAAGUGGAAUUCCUAGUGUAGCGGUGAAAUGCGUAGAGAUAAAGAGGAACACCGGUGGCGAAAGCGGCUUGUUAGCAUGAAACUGACACUGAGGCGCGAAAGCGUGGGGAGCAAACAGG
rnacentral:rRNA from 1 species